UACGUAGGGGGCUAGCGUUGUCCGGAUUUACUGGGCGUAAAGGGCGCGUAGGCGGUGUGUCAAGUCAGGCGUGAAAGCCCCGGGCUCAACCUGGGAACCGCGCUUGAGACUGGCACGCUAGAGUUCGGGAGAGGAUGGUGGAAUUCCCAGUGUAGAGGUGAAAUUCGUAGAUAUUGGGAAGAACACCGAUGGCGAAGGCAGCCAUCUGGACCGACACUGACGCUGAGGCGCGAAAGCGUGGGGAGCAAACAGG
rnacentral:rRNA from 1 species